CAGCCGCCGCGGUAAUACGUAGGGGGCGAGCGUUGUCCGAAGUUACUGGGCGUAAAGCGCGCGUAGGCGGCUUCUUAAGUCUGAGGUGAAAGGUUCAACGCUUAACGUGAACAGUGCCUUGGAUACUGGGGAGCUUGAGUAUGGGAGAGGGCAGUGGAAUGGCUGGUGUAGCGGUGAAAUGCGUAGAUAUCAGUCGGAACACCCAUGGCGAAGGCAGCUGCCUGGCCUAAUACUGACGCUGAGGUGCGAAAGCGUGGGGAGCGAACGGGAUUAGAUACCCCCGUAGUCCCUGUCUCUUAUA
rnacentral:rRNA from 1 species